rnacentral:rRNA from 1 species
GCCGGCAGCUAGCUCUCUGCAGCUCUCACAUGGUCACCCACUGAAGAUAAGCAGGGCUGCGCCCGGUCAGUACCUGGAUGGGAGACCACAUGGAAAAGCUUGCUGCCGGAA